AUUGAACGCUGGCGGCAGGCCUAACACAUGCAAGUCGAGCGGAUGAAGAGAGCUUGCUCUCUGAUUUAGCGGCGGACGGGUGAGUAAUGCCUAGGAAUCUGCCUGGUAGUGGGGGAUAACGUCCGGAAACGGGCGCUAAUACCGCAUACGUCCUACGGGAGAAAGCAGGGGACCUUCGGGCCUUGCGCUAUCAGAUGAGCCUAGGUCGGAUUAGCUAGUUGGUGAGGUAAUGGCUCACCAAGGCGACGAUCCGUAACUGGUCUGAGAGGAUGAUAGGUCAGACUGGAACGGAGACACGGUCCAGACUCAUACGGGAGGCAGCAGUGGGGAAUAUUGGACAAUGGGCGAAAGCCUGAUCCAGCCAUGCCGCGUGUGUGAAGAAGGUCUUCGGAUUGUAAAGCACUUUAAGUUGGGAGGAAGGGCAGUAAGUUAAUACCUUGCUGUUUUGACGUUACCGACAGAAUAAGCACCGGCUAACUUCGUGCCAGCCGCCGCCGUAAGAC
rnacentral:rRNA from 1 species